ACGGCUUAAAGAGGAAUGUAAAGAGAAUGAGCUCCUUUCUUGAAAUAACAAAAUAAUUGGAGUUUAACCCAGAAAAAUAUCCUCGGGCCUUGAUUAAAGGGCAAAAAUAGCAACAACCCAAUGGGCAAUAUAAAAACUACAACCACCAAGAGACACAGUAAGAGAGGAAACACAAGCAUGGGAAAUAGGAGAGGGAGAAGCGAUGCAGGGCUCGAUCCCAGGACCUGGGAUCAUGACCUGAGCCGAAAGCAGAGGCUUAACGCACUGAGACAUCCAGGUACCCCUAUCUUUAAUUAUUUU
rnacentral:lncRNA from 1 species